CAGAGCUAUUGUCACUACUUUAAAAUAUGAGCAGAAUGGGGUAUGGAUCAGGUCUAUAAAGCUUUCUGUUUAUGUAUUUUGAAUAUACAUAGUUAUUAUUGCCUAUUAUCUACAUCAAAAUGGAGAGUUUAUUUGGUGAUGUCUUUAUCUUCUCAAGAUUAUUUACAAUUAGAGUGACUCCAGCAACUACUGAAGCUAACUCCACUGCACUUUCUCUAGUGGCAGCAUACAUUUCAACCAUUACAACAACCCAGUCUUUGCUGGUGCUUGAGAAUUGAAUCAAGCUAUUUGCCAGGAAACAAGAGAAUUUCAGCAGGAAAAGAGAAUGUUCACAAUGUCAGUGAUGAAUGAGGAGACCAUAGAGCAGGCAAACAAAAGAAAGCAGCAGGCCUGCUGGAGCUCCCUAUCUGAAGGCUUGGGUUUCCAGCACUCUAAAGCAGGUUCAGCAAACCACAGCCCAUGGACCACAUUUGGCCCUCACCUUGUAUCCAUAAAUAAAGUUUUAUUGAAAAGCAAUCAUGCACAUUUAUUCACAUAUAGCCUGUGGCUGCUUUUGCUCUACAAUGGUGGAGCUGAGUAGUUGCAAGAAAGACCCCGUAAAUAGAAAUAAAAGUGAACAAAAUAUGUAUUGUCUGACCUGUUACAAAAAAAAGUUUGUUAACCCUGGCUCUAAAGAAUCCAUUCUAUACAAGGCAGAGCUCUAUUAUGAGGUAUGACUGUAACUGUGUUUUAAAAAAGUGUUCUGGAACCUUGCCACAGUAGAUUAAUUCCUCAAGGUUAUCCCCAACAAUGAGAGGCAAGCCAAGUGAUUAACUAAGCCACUGACACUGUCCUAUGACACAAAUUUCUCCUCUAUCUCCCCUUCAGUAGUGCCUCACUUUGGAGUCGGCUGAGAAGAUCAUUCCAGACGGGAGUUUUGACACUGUACAAAUGCACUGUCUUCACAUCUACGCUGACACCCCUGCCUUUCUACCUGCAGGUGUCUGUGGCUUACAAGCUGGUGCCUCCCACAGACCCUGUAGUUUGGAGCUAAUGAAGAGCUGAGAAGCUACCAGGAUCUGCAACUUUUUGCCUGAGGGUUUUCUCAGAAGACACAGAAACUGUUCUGCCUAUAAGCCUUGAAGUGCCAGGGAAUUAACACCUACCUUCCCACAGCCCUCCCCACAGUGACUGAUAGCAUUGAUAACGAUACCCAAGCUUCACCCCUCAGGUGGGAUAACUGAGCUGCUUGUUCUAUACCAUGUUCUAGAGUUUCUCCCAUGAGUUUAGGUUCUAAUCAUCCACAUGUAAAUUGCUUGAUAAGAAACCUUCAUUGACUCCUUGUCUCACUUCCCCUCCCCUUAUUUGUUUUGUUUGCACCUUUCAAAUAAACUAUUUUCAUUCAA
rnacentral:lncRNA from 1 species